UAUCUCUGUAGAGUCUGCAUAUCAAUAAGCGGAGGAAAAGAAACUAACAAGGAUUCCCUUAGUAACGACGAGUGAAGCGGGAAGAGCUCAAAUUUGAAAUCUUCAAGGUUCUACCUUGACGAAUUGUAGUUUAUAGAAGUGUUUUCUGUUAGUGGAGUGGCAAAAGUUCUUUGGAAUAGGACAUCAUAGAGGGUGAGAAUCCCGUAUUUGGUCAUUCUCUCCUAGCUGUUGUGAUACACUUUCAACGAGUCGGAUUGUUUGGGAAUGCAGUCCAAAAUGGGUGGUAAAUUUCAUCUAAAGCUAAAUAUUGGCGAGAGACCGAUAACGAACAAGUACCGUGAGGGAAAGAUGAAAAGAACUUUGAAAAGAGAGUUAAACAGUACGUGAAAUUGUCAAAAGGGAAGCGUUUGACACCAGUGUUGUUUUUCCGAAAAUCAAUUACGAAUGGCUUGAUUUUAAGUUUCAUGACCUUAAAAGCUUGUUGCUUAUUUUUCAUGUCUUUCGUAAUGCACUUUUCGGUUAACAAGUCAACAUCAAUUUCUUUUGUUGUAAAAGGUUAAGAGGAAGGUGGCUUUACUUUCGGGUAAAGUGUUUAUAGCCUUUUAACUCUGCAAUCGGAGAGAUUGAGGUCUGCAGCGUAGAUCCUUCGGGGUUAGAUACAUUUGUGCUAAGUUAUAGCCUUUCAUAGACAACUUGUUGACUAUGAUCAGUCAUGUAGCUUACUCGCUUAUGCUAUUUUACCUACGCUUAGGAUGUUGAGUAGCGACAUACGCAC
rnacentral:rRNA from 1 species